UACAGAGGUCUCGAGCGUUAGGCGGAAUCACUGGGCUUAAAGCGUGUGUAGGCGGAUCGUUAAGUACCUUGUGAAAUCCCACGGCUUAACCGUGGAACUGCUUGGUAUACUGGCGGUCUUGAGCCAGCUAGGGGCUACCGGGAACAAAAUGGUGGAGCGGUGAAAUGCGUAGAUAUCAUUUGGAACGCCAAUGGUGAAAACAGGUAGCUGGGGCUGUGCUGACGGCU
rnacentral:rRNA from 1 species